rnacentral:rRNA from 1 species
AGUGAACGCUGGCGGUAGGCCUAACACAUGCAAGUCGAACGGCAACAGGUCUUCGGAUGCUGACGAGUGGCGAACGGGUGAGUAAUACAUCGGAACGUGCCUAGUAGUGGGGGAUAACUACUCGAAAGAGUGGCUAAUACCGCAUGAGAUCUACGGAUGAAGGCAGGGGAUCGCAAGACCUUGUGCUACUAGAGCGGCCGAUGGCAGAUUAGGUAGUUGGUGGGAUAAAAGCUUACCAAGCCGACGAUCUGUAGCUGGUCUGAGAGGACGAUCAGCCACACUGGGACUGAGACACGGCCCAGACUCCUACGGGAGGCAGCAGUGGUGAAUUUUGGACAAUGGGCGAAAGCCUGAUCCAGCAAUGCCGCGUGCAGGAUGAAGGCCUUCGGGUUGUAAACUGCUUUUGUACGGAACGAAAAGCCCCGGGUUAAUACCCUGGGGUCAUGGCGGUACCGUAAGAAUAAGCACCGGCUAACUACGUGCCAGCCGCCGCGGUAA